rnacentral:rRNA from 1 species
AGCGAACGCUGGCGGCGUGCCUAGCACAUGCAAGUCGAACGUGAAAAGGGAAACCUGAGUAAAGUGGCGUACGGGUGAGUCACGCGUAGGUAAUCUACCCCAGAAUCUGGAAUAACCUGCCGAAAGGCGGGCUAAUACUGGAUAGAGCGAGGGAACUCGUAAGAGAGUUUUUCGGGAAAGGGAGCCCGCAAGGGCCUUCGUUCUGGGAUGAGCCUGCGUCUCAUUAGCUAGUUGGUAAGGUAACGGCUUACCAAGGCGAUGAUGAGUAGCUGGUCUGAGAGGAUGAUCAGCCACACUGGAACUGAAACACGGUCCAGACUCCUACGGGAGGCAGCAGUGGGGAAUCUUGCGCAAUGGACGAAAGUCUGACGCAGCCACGCCGCGUGAGUGAAGAAGGCCUUCGGGUUGUAAAGCUCUGUCGGAUGGGACGAACAUCUUCAUAGUGAAUAGCUAUGAGGACUGACGGUACCAUCAAAGGAAGCACCGGCUAACUCCGUG